AGUGAACCCAACAAAAAGAAGAGGGAACUGCUAGAGUCCAUAGAAAUUAAAAAAAAUAACAAAGCUGUCAAUGAUAAACGGGAUGUCAAAAACCUUAAUAGGGUAUAUUUCAACUUAAUCUAAAAUUAACUAUAUAAUAUUUCAGCAGGCCUAUGAGACGAACACCAUAAUAAUUUUUGACACAGUUCAUUACUCUCUUAACGCAAUGACUUAGUGGGUCCGUUCCUAUGCUUUAACAUUUUAACAUUGUUUUAAUUGUGACGUCUAUUUGUGUACUUGUUUCAAAACUAAAUUUACGAUUGCAUGUCAAUCCUUGAAAAAGGCAUGGAUUUCCUGCCGAAACGUCGGAUAAUAUAUCAAUAAAUAUGGUCAUAACAUCAUAGACAAGCUUUUUUUAUGAACCUAAACCCAAGAAACAUUGGUAAAAA
rnacentral:lncRNA from 1 species